rnacentral:lncRNA from 1 species
AUGCUCCUCCAGCAAAGCGAGGGCCCGAGUGUUUCGGUGGAUCAUUCACUGUGCCUGGAACAUGAGAAUUUCGCUCAGCGUUCGUUGCUGGAGGAAACGGCCAUCCCUCAGCCCGGCCCUCCGAACGUCAGGUGCACCCACACCUCUGGGGCCCGGGGGCCUGGAGAAACAGGAGGGACAGGCGGUGUUGCACAGAGAGCAACCGUCGCGUCAACGUGCGGCAGCGUUUUACCUUACAAUUCCGUUGCGAGGAGUCCCCUCUUUUGGAACCACUGGCGAAGGAAAGCGAGCGUCCAGCCGCUCUUUUCCAGCUGUGUGUUUGGCGCUGCUGAUCCGAAGGAUAAAAUGAGAGGGCGGCAGAGGGGAACGAUGCAGGGACCUUCCUACCAGCAACUCACAGAGGAGAUGGCAGAGAACGCCAAGCCUGCCACAGAGAACCAGAACAUCUAUGGAGGUUGAACCGUCCUGAUGGGCGCACCAAGGACAGGGGGUUUAUUUUUGUUGUUGUGCAACAAAUACCUAUUAAGCAAAUUCUAUGCACAAGUUCACUCUGGUAAUUAUUUUAGGAGAGAAGAAAAAGACAACACACGAUUCCUACUUCUGAGAAGCUUAAAGUAUUUGGAGAAAUAAGUUUCUAAUAAUAAAUAAUCAUAAUGACAAGUAAUGUUUUUUAAU